rnacentral:rRNA from 1 species
AAAAACAUGGCUUCCUGUAACCCAGCAAAUAGGGAGUCGGACCUGCCCAGUGAAAUUUUUAAACGGCCGCGGUACUCUGACCGUGCAAAGGUAGCAUAAUCAUUUGCCUUAUAAUUGAAGGCUAGUAUGAAUGGUUUGACAAGAAUACAGCUGUCUCUUUAUGAAUAAACAGAAUUUUAUCUUAAGGUGAAGAAGCCUUAAUAAAAUUAAAAGACAAGAAGACCCUAUCGAGCUUUAAAAAAAUUAAAAGACACUAAUUAAUAGAUAUAAAAAAUUAACUUUUAAAAAUUUUGGUUGGGGCGACCGGGGAACAAAAAAAGCUUCCUUUAAAACAAAAAACAUACACGUAUUGAUCCAGAAUUUCUGAUUAAAGAAAUUAGUUACCGUAGGGAUAACAGCAUUAUCCUCUUUAAGAGUUCUUAUCGAAAAGGGGGUUUGUGACCUCGAUGUUGGACCAGAAUAUCCUAAAGGUGCAGAAGCCUUAAGGGUUGGUCUGUUCGACCAUUAAAAUUCUACGUGAUC